GUGCUCACUUCAGCAGCCUGUGUGUUAAGAUUAGAACAAUACAGAGCAGAUUAGCAUGGCCCCUAGGCAAGGAGAAUAUAUGUAUAUACUUGUUUACAAAUAUUUCU